rnacentral:rRNA from 1 species
ACGCCGCGUGAGUGAAGAAGGUUUUCGGAUCGUAAAACUCUGUUUUCAGGGACGAAUGUGCGUCAUGUAAAUAAUGUGAUGUAAUGACGGUACCUGAGUAGAAAGCCACGGCUAACUACGUGCCAGCAGCCGCGGUAAUACGUAGGUGGCAAGCGUUGUCCGGAAUUAUUGGGCGUAAAGCGCGCGCAGGUGGGAUAUUAAGUCUGGUGUUAAAGUUCGGGGCUCAACCCCGUGAAGCAUUUGGAAACUGAUAUUCUUGAGUGCAGGAGAGGAAAGUGGAAUUCCUAGUGUA